UUCUAAAACACACUGGAGUGGGAGGAAUGUUCUUCCCCAGGUGGAAUAGGACGCUGAUAAUGUCCUUUUCCCUUAAGCCUUUAUUAUGGAGAAUGCUCUUGGUUUAUUCCACAAGGGUUAUGUUCCCUAUCCCCUUGUUAGAGCCAUGAGAAUCUCUCUCCUAAUUCCACACUGUGAGAAUAUGGUGGGAUUCCUGGAAGUAAAACUCACCAAAGUCUGGGGAUCCCAAGAAGUUUUUCAUUCUCUCACUAAUCACACUCAGCCUCUAGCAAUUUGUCAUCAGUAGCAUUUAAUUGUUCCUACAGGUUUAUGGUUCCAGCAUCUUUUGCUCCAAGUCUCGUACAGAGAUGACCACAGGACGGACGUGGUAGGGAGCAGUGCAGUGCACUGCAAGAAGUUCUACUCUAGGGCCUGUUGGAUGGGAUUUGAAUCCUAACUCUGGCAGUUGUUAGUGGGGAGGCCACAGCGAUCAUUUGGAGGACCUGGAGUGCAGCACUGGAACAUUCAUGUGUGCCUACAGUUGACUGAUCUACCUUGGGAGGGUACUGCUCUCAGCAGAAGACAAAUCAAGCUUUACACCGGGCCUUCACAUGCACAGAGCAUGGCAUCAUAGGAAGUCUGACUUGUUCUUGUUUAUAGGCCAGAAACUCUCCGGCAGCCACCAGAGCAAACUCAGACCAUCACAAAGAAUUCCUCCAAACUCUUCUGCCAACACAACCAAGUUAAAUGUUGUGAAAAUUCCAUGCCACUACCCUUAUCACUGAGUCCAAAUACCGUGGUUCUUCUUUUCUGCUGACUAUCAUGGAAAAUGACCCAGCUUGCCAUUUCCAAGACAUAUGAUCUUAACCACUUCUUAUGUGAAAAAUACUGAGUGCAUCCGGUGAUUAAAAAGGUAAAAACAAACAGAGAAAAAAACAAAACCAAAACCAAAAAA
rnacentral:lncRNA from 1 species